rnacentral:rRNA from 1 species
GAUGAACGCUGGCGGCGUGCCUAAUACAUGCAAGUCGAGCGAACGGACGAGAAGCUUGCUUCUCUGAUGUUAGCGGCGGACGGGUGAGUAACACGUAGAUAACCUACCUAUAAGACUGGGAUAACUUCGGGAAACCGGAGCUAAUACCGGCUGAUAUUUUGAACCGCAUGGUUCAAAAGUGAAAGACGGUCUUGCUGUCACUUAUAGAUGGAUCCGCGCUGCCUUAGCUAGUUGGUAAGGUAACGGCUUACCAAGGCAACGAUGCCUAGCCGACCUGAGAGGGUGAUCGGCCACACUGGAACUGAGACACGGUCCAGACUCCUACGGGAGGCAGCAGUAGGGAAUCUUCCGCAAUGGGCGAAAGCCUGACGGAGCAACGCCGCGUGAGUGAUGAAGGUCUUCGGAUCGUAAAACUCUGUUAUUAGGGAAGAACAUAUGUGUAAGUAACUGUGCACAUCUUGACGGUACCUAAUCAGAAAGCCACGGCUAACUACGUG